rnacentral:rRNA from 1 species
UACAGAGGGUGCGAGCGUUAAUCGGAAUUACUGGGCGUAAAGCGCGCGUAGGCGGAUUUUCAAGUCGAUUGUGAAAUCCCCGGGCUUAACCUGGGAACUGCAGUCGAGACUGUCUAGCUAGAGUAUGGGAGAGGGAAGUGGAAUUUCAGGUGUAGCGGUGAAAUGCGUAGAUAUCUGAAGGAACAUCAGUGGCGAAAGCGACUUCCUGGACCAAUACUGACGCUCAUGUGCGAAAGCGUGGGGAGCAAACGGG